rnacentral:lncRNA from 1 species
CAGGGACAAAUAUUUAAAGAGAAUUUCACCUUAGAAGGAUAUUGCAUAGUGAAAGUGAUGAGCCAAAGUUUUCAUAUUCAUUCAACAAAGGUGUUGGCAGCCAACUCAGUAUUUACUAAGCCCAUCUUUGGCUUUGAUGAUGGCUUGGAUAUAUUCUGUUCCUACACUCUGCCAGUUUUUUGUUGUAAUCAGUGUCAGUUUCUUCCCAGCAUGAAACAACUGUGGGGCCAUGGGACGAUAUUGACAGGCGUUGGCCUAAGUGUGGUGAGGGAUGCGCAUAAGGAUGGGUAAUGAGAAUCGGCGAAUAAAAUGGAGACGACGUUCAAUGAGAACAACUUCCUUUAUUGGAGAGAUUUUCACAAUACAUGUGAACUACAAUGAGAGGAGAAAUACCUGGUUUAUAAA